UGCUUGGAAUGCAUGAGAAUGGCAGUGGAGAACUUAACUAGGUGACCUGCCCCAACCCAACACAUAUCUAUUUACAUAUAUAGUUAUGGUCUGGUCAAUAUUACUUUUUCAGAACCAGGAUUGGCUCAUGGUCUGGGCUGUGAUGUGGAUGCUUUUCAAUAUGAUCAAGUUUCGUAAGCCUUGCACGACUUGAGAUAACAUGAUAAAGUUAGCAGCAGUUUUAUGAAUCGACAAGUUUAAACAUAAAACUGCGAAUGUAGGACACUCAAUGAGCACACAAUGUAUACUGUAUGCUUUAGAACUAGAUGGUUUCAAGUAAAUGGUAUGGAACUAAAGUGCAUUCGCUAAAACAUGAAUUGUUGAGAUCAAUGGUUGAUAUAUGCCCAAGGAGAGUGGUGUUGCUUUGAAGGUUUAAAGUUGCAUACUUUAAUUGUUACUAUGCUAGUUCUUAUAUUGAAAAUCACACAAUAUACGAAUUUGUGUAUAUUUCAAUCUUCAUAUAUCAUUAAAACAUCCAGAUGAGUUUCUACGAUGCUUCUAUUUGUAGAUGCUUUGUGGGUUUUCGUUUCUACUGUUGAAUAGCUUGCUUGCUUGUAUCCCUGAUGUGUCCCAGUGAUUGUUAUUAAAUAGUUUUCCCUUUUUAUUCUUCUCUUUUUGAUUCCUUUUAAAAAUCUCAUGUAUACUCAAACCUCUUUGCUCCCCCCUCUAUCAUUUAAGUGGAAAUAUAAUUUUUCAAAGAAUAUUAGGAAAAAUUACCUUUAGGUUCUUUAUGUUCAUAAUUUACGAGUGAAAUCUUGUAGUCAAUCUAUGUUCAGUGUCAAUUUUAUCAUCUUGGUGGAAUCUUUAUUGAGCAUUUACUUAAGUUUAUCUUGGCAUCCUUUUUUUUCUCAUUCCAAUGUUUUGUAUUUUUUUCGUAACACUUGACAGUGACUUGGCAUAAUUUUCCAUUUAAUACUCUUUCAGCCACAUUUAUGUGUACGCGUCACAUGCCACGUCUCUAGAACUAAUUUAUGUGUAGCAGAUGCUGUCACCAAACUGCAGAAUUUUAAUAAAUUUACAAACAUAGGUGCAUUGUUAUUUCACUUGCUUUUCUGUCGUUUGGUAUAACUUUAAUCACUAUCUCUCUCAAGCACACACGCUACACGUGUAUGUAAAUAUGUUUGUAUUUAUCUAUUUUUAUUUAUAUUUUCAAUAUAUAGAUGGGUUUCAUUGUUUAUGCAAAUGUGAUGCAUAUAUUUGUGUAAAAAUAAUUAUAUAAUUCUUGUCACUAUGCUUCUUUAUUUAUUUCUCUGGUAUGUUUGUGCAAAGACUCUGCAUAUGAUGGCUUACACUUGAUCUCUGAACUUCAGGCAUGUAGACUAGUGAAGACUACAACUUUUAUGCUAAGACAUGAUUUUUGGAUAUAUGUUAGUUUGUGGUUAAUAUUAAGACAUGAUUUUUGGAUAUAUGUUAGUUUGUGGUUAAUGUUAAAACAUGAUUUUUGGAUUUUGGAUA